UCGUGUCUAUUAAAGAAAUUAAAACAAGUAACUUGCUAGUAAAGCAUAAGCCCUUCACAAUUUAACCAAUGAUAGGAACCCUGGUAACAAUCCCAUAGGUGUUAACCCAAACUCGAACCCUAGUGCACAAGAAAUCCGCUGUAACAAAUGAUCCUUCCAACACAAUCACAGCAUUGACAUGAGGAUUCUCCUUCUCAAUUCUUGCUGCCGCAUCCUCCCCUUUCUUCCCCACAAGCUCAGGCCAAGAACUUUUCCCUACAUUUAUAGCCACAAGAACUUAUAUAAUUGCUUUUAAGGAAAUAAAAUCAUUAGUACAAUUACAAAUCAUUCUUAGCUUCGAAAGUUGUUAAUAUUUACCUUUGCAUUCAUCUGAAGCCAUCUUGUUCUUCCUCUUACUCUAUUGAACUAUUUUUCCUCCUUUGAUUUAUUUGUGUUAUGAAAACUAGUUAAGAUGGGAAUUUAUAGAUGAGUAGGUUAGCCUGCUGCUCAUUAUUGACCUUUCUAGGAAGCUUAUGUAGAAAGUUUGAAGUGUUUUUAUGGGGAUAAAUUGUUUGUUGUAUUCCACUAUCAGCUCUGAUGAAGAUUAGGAUGAAGACAGUUGGUGCACUCUUCAGCAAUUUUUCUCACUUUCCUUACCAAAAUUAAAUUUAGAGUUCACAGAUAUAUGGUUUCCACAACCAUUUGUCUAAUGAAAUUUUCGAUUACUACAUAUUGUUUGAACAGCUCAAAUCUUAACUUGUCUAGAUUUUUCAAAAUUGGAUUAUACUUCAAGAUAUCUUGAAACAUUUAUUGGCUUAAAACAAUGAAUUUAAGUCAAUUAAUGAUCCAUAUAUAUAUACAUAUAUCUCUAUAAACAAAGGACCAAAAUCUUAAUCAUGUAAAAGAGAAAGCAAAAAUGAAAACCACAAACAUAUGAGAUAAAGUUGAAGUCUUUGAUGUGUUCCAACAAGGAAGAUUUGAAAUUCAAUUUGUGUAUGGUGCGAACACCCAAAACUUAAAGAAAAACAAACAUAUAGAAAGUCAUAAUAACUAUAUAUCUAUAAACAACUUUAAACAAGCACAGAAAUUUUAAAGCUAUAUAUAAAGAGUUGAAAGUCUUUGUUGCAAGAAGGAAGGUGAAUAUUAGAUUUUGAUUUAUCUUCGGAGAAGUGAUUGUUAAAUGUUAAUAUAUUCUUUGAUUAUUUAAAGUCAACAGAGCAAUAAUGAGCAUGGUAGAUUUAAAUGGUAUGUUCAAUUCUUUUAGAAUUAGACAUUAUCUUUGAGGUUUUGAGCAUCCAUAUUUAAUUAGCUUGAAGACGAUGUACAAUGCUUCAAUGAUUAAUUUAUCAAGUUAAUUGAUGUCAGAGGGUCUGAACCGACUAUCUAUUAAGCAAAAUCAGAUUUUUAUCUUAUCAAGCGUUGUUUAUGGUUUUCUAAAUGGCUAAAGCACAAAAUAAGUCCUUAUACUAAAAAUAUCUAUCAUAUGAGCUUUUAUCUUUUUAUUGCAUUAAAUAUUUGAGCUCUUAAUCAAUUAUUACAAUCAAUCGAGUCCUUUUGGAUAUAUAAAAAUUUUAACACCAUUAACUCUUUCUACCAAUGAGAACAGAAUUGUCAUGUGCCAUAAAUAAUGUGGAACACACAGCAUUUUUUAGGCAUGUGUUAAAAUAAAAAAAAAACAAAGAAUUUAAUAAUUUUUUCAUUGAAAUUUUCUAUGCGUCUGAUUACAUCAAAGCUUCUUUGAACAGUUCCAUGUCUUUACUUGCAGAUAUUGCAAUAGCCAAUAGGGAAGCUUAUCACCAAGAUUGGCUUAUGCUUCAAGACAUUUCUUGAAUCAGGGCAAGGUUGAAAAUUGAUCUAGAUCUCUACUGGUCAAAGUCAGCCUGUAAAUAUAUUGCUUACGUUGAAAAUUGUGCAUUUUCAUUCACAUUCAAUCCAAAUUUUCUAACAAGAUAGUUAAUUAAUUAUUGUAAGCAUUCGGUUUUCAUUUUAUAAAUACUAGAGUGGUGCCUCGCUUUGUGUGGGUGUUAAAUUUUUUAUUAAAAAUUAUAUAAUAUUAUAAAUAAAAAUAAUAAUAUCAAGAGCAAUAAUUUUAAAUUUAAAAAUACUAUAAAUAAUAGUUAUAAUGAUAAUUUAAAGAAAAUUAUUUUUUAAAAUAUUUCUCAUCUCUUAUUAAGCAAAAAUUUUAUUUAAAUAAUUUUUUUUAAAACAUUUAAUUUUUUAUAUCUUAAUAUAUGCUAAUAUUGAUAUAUUCAUAUUUUAUUAAUUACAUGAUUCUAAUAGUGAAAUCAAAUUCAUAUUGAAAAAAUAUAAUGUUUUAAAAGUAAUUAUUGAUAAGCUAUAUAAUUGAUAUAAUAAAAUUAUUCAAAUAAAAUAAAUAUUUUUUGAAAGUCAAAAUGAAAUAAAUAUUAAUUAUACUUAUUAAUUUUUUUAGUUUUAAUGAUGAAAUGUUCUAAAUGAUCUUUAAUUUUAAUUAGUACUUUUUUAUCUCAUGCCUUUAUAAUUGUUUAGAAUUAAUUCCCCUUAUAAUUCCUAUCGUGUCUCAUUAAAAAUUAAAAAUUUGCUUCACAUCAAACUUGAAUGAAAUCCAUAAAUGUGCACCAAAAAAAGUUUAUUUUUAUAUUUUAUUUUAUAAAGAAUAUAUAUUUCAUAAUACAUGAAAGCACUGUUAGCUUCAAUUUCCUAUGAACCAAAACAUUAUCAAUACGGAAAAAAUGCUCUUAUGAAGCUAAAGAAAAAAAAUCUUCUGUUGACAAUCCUAAAUGCAACCGACCCCACAAAAAUCAUCUCAAAAUUCUUUAUAAAUCAAUCAUUUUAAAUUAGCCACAUGUCAAUAAAAGAAGCCACAAACGUGGCCAAGUGUGGAAGCCCCUGUAGGGCUUCAUUUUACUUAUGUUAUAGAUAUAUCUAUAUAUUGAAUCGAAAGUGUACAUUUAAUUUGAAAUAGAUCAUAGGAAAUGUAACAUGGAGUGAAAUUAUAAAGUGUUUUGUGAUCUUUAUUGAGAUUUCAUUUUUAUGUAAUGUAGAGAAACAAACUCAAUGAUGAACCAUGAUAGAGUUGAAUCAUUUCAUUUUCAUCACAGCUUGAACACGAACCAAUGGGGAAUCAAACCGAGGGGGUCUGUACCGAGGCAGGGUAUUACUAUUCUACCAUUAGAGUCCUUCCAACUUCACCUUGACAAAAUUAUCACCACGCAGCCCUAACCCCUAAAUCUGAUGAAAAACCCAAAAUGCCUCUGUCCCAAAAUAUUUAAAUUACAUUUACAUAUUUUUUAUCAAUAAUGAUUUGCAGUUUUUAAGUAUUAAUUACAUACAAGGGAGCCAAAUCAUGUUCAUCUUGCAAGAAAGAAAUGACAUGAUGCUUCAUUUUUUUAAAAAAAGAAGAAAUUAAAACUAAAUGUAACCUACAUCUAUAUAUAAAGUAUAAAUUAAUAACUUUUCUUUGAAAAUUAGAAAUUCAUAUCUGUCCAUGGCAUUCUCUUUCCAGAUUCCAAUUUCAUGGCAAAGUCUUUCCAUAUGUCUGAUCUCUACAUACUAUUGCACAUCCCAAAUCAGAAAUCAGGCUUUGAUAUCUUAUAAUGCUUUAUCCUGAUCUCACAAAAUAAAUGUUGUAGUAGUUGACAAGGUAAUUUGUUCUCUAUGUUCAUAUAUUACGAAUAAAUAACAGUUUACAGAAUUAGAUUUGACUCAAUAGUUCAUGUAUGUGUUCCCUUCAAAGAGUGGGAUUUGAAUUUCUUUUCUCCAAAAAACCAAAAGAAAGAAAACGUUAUAAGAUUGUCAUUAUUUGCAAUAAUAUUCUCCAACAUCACAAGAAUUAAUCCUUCUUGAGCAAUAGGUACGUUAAAAGGAUGCAAUAGGACAUUUUGCAAAGAAUGGACCAUUUAGGUCCGGCACCUUCAAAAUGUUGUAUUUCUUCUCCCUUAAUUCCAAAUUCAAGUGCAUGAAAAAAUAUGAUCAUAAAAUACAAAGAAGCCUUAAUGGAGAUGGUUAAAAAUCUUAUUCCAAACAAAAAAUAAAUUAUAGAUUUAAAUAAAGAUAAUGAGAUCGUAUAACAUAAUAGUGGGUAUUCUUAUUUUAAAUUACAAUACGUAAUUUGUGUUUAUUAAAGAAAUUAAAACAAGUAACUUGCUAGUAAAGCAUAAGCCCUUCACAAUUUAACCAAUGGUCGGAACCCUGGUAACAAUCCCAUAGGUGUUAACCCAAACUCGAACCCUAGUGCACAAGAAAUCCGCUGUAACAAAUGAUCCUUCCAACACAAUCACAGCAUUGACAUGAGGAUUCUCCUUCUCAAUUCUUGCCGCUGCAUCCUCCCCUUUCUUCCCCACAAGCUCAGGCCAAGAACUUUUCCCUACAUUUAUAGCCACAAGAACUUAUAUAAUUGCUUUUAAGGAAAUAAAAUUAUUAUUACAAUUACAAAUCAUUCUUAGCUUCGAAAGUUGUUAAUAUUUACCUUCGCAUUCAUCUGAAGCCAUCUUGUUCUUCCUCUUACUCUAUUGAACUAUUUUUUCUCCUUUGAUUUAUUUGUGUUAUGGAAACUAGUUAAGAUGGGUAUUUAUAGAUGAGUAGGUUAGCCUGCUGCUCAUUAUUGACCUUUCUUAGAAGCUUAUGUUGAAAGUUUCAAGUAUUUUUUUUGGGGAUAAAUUGUUUGUUGUAUUCCAACAUCAGCUCUGAUGAAGAUUAGGAUGAAGACAGUUGGUGCACUCUUCAGCAAUUUUUCUCACUUUCCUUACCAAAAUUAAAUUUAGAGUUCAAGGAUAUAUGGUUUCCGCGACCAUUUGUCUAAUGAAAUUUUCUAUUACUACAUAUUGUUUGAACAGCUCAAAUCUUAACUUGUCUAGAUUUUUCAAAAUUGGAUUAUGCUUCAAGAUAUCUUGAAACAUUUAUUGGCUUAAAACUAUGAAUUUAAGUCAAUUGAUGAUCCAUAUACAUAUAUCUAUAAACAAAGGACCAAAUCUUAAUCAUGUAAAAGAGAAAGCAAAAAUGAAAACCACAAACAUAUGAGAUAAAGUUGAAGUCUUUGAUGUGUUCCAACAAGGAAGAUUUGAAAUUCAAUUUGUGUAUGGUGUGAACACCCAAAAAUUAAAGAAAAACAAACACAUUGAAAGUCAUAAUAGCUAUAUAUCUAUAAACAACUUUAAACAAGCACAGAAAUUUUAAAACUAUAUAUAAAGAGUUGAAAGUCUUCGUUCCAAGAAGGAAGACUGAAUCUUAUAUUUUGAUUUAUCUCUCGGAGAAGUGAUUGUUAAAUGAUAAUAUAUUCUUUGAUUAUUUAAAGUCAAUAGGGCAAUAAUGAGUAUGAAGAUAUAAAUGGUAUAUUCAAUUCUUUUAGAAUUAGACAUUAUCUUUGAGGUUUUGAGCAUCCAUAUUUAAAUAGCUUGAAGACGAUGUACAAUGCUUCAAUGAUUAAUUUAUCAAGUUAAUUAAUAAGUUAGGUUCCAAGUCCAAAUUGUACUCUUAAAAAAUGGGUUAAAAUUAAAUUGGUUUCGUCUCACUGAUUAAGUAAUCAUUUAUAACUAUUUAUUCUAUUAUUUAUUAUUACUAAUGUCGGAGAGUCUAAACCAACUAUCUAUUAAGCAAAAUCAAAUUUUAAUCUUAUCAGGCAUUGUUUAUGGUUUUCUAAAUGGCUAAAGCACAAAAUAAGUCCUUAUACUAAAAAUAUCUAUCAUUUGAGCUUUUAUCUUUUUAGUGCAUUAAAUAUUUGAGUUCUUAAUCAACUAUUACAAUCAAUUGAGUCCUUACUGGAAUAUAUAAAAAUUUUAACACCAUUAGCUCUUUCUAUCAAUGAGAAUAAGAUUGUCAUGUGACAUAAACAAUGUGGAACACACAGCAUUUUUUAGGCAUGUGUUAAAAUUAAAAAAAAAAAAACAAAGAAUUCCUUUCAUUCUUGACAUGUAUUAAAAAUGACCAUUUCUUUUAAUUUGACACACAUGCUCAAAAAAUGUCGUGUUAAUAUUUAUUCCACAUCAUUCAUGUCUCAUGAAAAUUAUAUCCCGACUAAUAGAAAUUAAAGAAUUAAUGGUGUUAAAAUUUUCAUCAAAUAAGAAUCCAAUUGAUUGUAAAUAAUUGAUUAAAAACCUAAUUAUUUACAAUAGAAUAGAAGCUCUUGCAACACAUUUAAUUGCAUACAAGGGCUUAUUUUGUUUUUAGUCAAAUCAUAUUCAUCUUGUGUGAAAGAAAUGACAUGAUGCCAGUCGACAUGGUGCUUCAAUAUUUUUUUUUUUAAAUAAACUACAUGUAACAUAAAUAAAGUAUAAUAUAAGUAUUUUCAUGAAUGCAUUAAAAAAUCAAUAACUUGAUUAGGCAUUGUACAAAUAUAUAACUAUCUUCCCUUUGGAAAUUAGAAAUUCAUAAUUCAUCCAUGGCAUUCUAUUUCCAGAUUCCAAUUUCAUGGCAAAGUGUUUCCAUAUGUCAUGUAUUUCUACAUUGCAAAUUCCAAAACAGAAAUCAGGCUUUGAUAUCUUAUAACUCAUUAACGAUUUGUGUAUGUAUUCCCUUCGGAGAGCCUUAAUGGAGACCGUUUAGCAUCUAAUUAGUCCAAAUUUGAAACAAAUUAGAGACUUACGUAGAUAAACAAUGAGAUCAAAUAAUCAAAUUUAUUCUUGUUUUAUAUUACAACAUAGUCCCCAUUUAUUAAAAAAAUAAAAGCAAGUAACUUGCUAUAGUCGAGCAUAAGCCCUUCACAAUAUAUUUAACCAAUGAUGGGAACCCUGGUAACGAUCCCAUCCGUGUUAACCCAAACCCGAACCCUAGUGCACAAGAACUCCAAUGUUACAAAUGUUCCUUCCAACACAAUCAUAGCAUUGACAUGAGGAUUCUCCUUCUCAAUUCUUGCCGCUGCAUCCUCCCCUUUCUUCCCCACAAGCUCAGGCCACGAACUUUUCCCUACACAUAUAGCCACAAGAAUGUAUAUAAUUAUUCUGAAGGAAAAAAAGUUAUUAGUACGAUUACAAAGCAUUCUUAGCUUUGAAAGUUGUUACUAUUUACCUUUGCAUUCGUCUGAAGCCAUCUUGUUCUUCUUUUCACUCUAUUGAACUAUUUUUUUCUACUUUGAUUUAUUUGUGUUAAGGCAACUAGUUAAGAUGGGUAUUUAUAGAUGAGGAGCAGAUUAGCCUGUUCCUCAUUGUUGACCUUUCCAGCAGGCUUAUGUUGAAAGUUUGAAGUGUUUUUUUGGGAGGGGAUAAAUUUUUUGUUGUAUUCCAACAUCACCUCUGAGAAAGAUUAGGAUGAAGAAAGUUGGUGCAUUUUUAAGCAAUGUUUCUCACUUUCCCUUCCAAAACUUAAUCUAUAAACCUAACAUAUUUGUGGUCUCAGCUGCCACUAUCUGCCCAAUGACAUUUUCAAUGCAUUUGAUUACAGCAAAGUAUCUUUGAACAGUUCAGCAUCUUAGCUUGUGGAUAUUGCAAUAGGAAGCUUAUCCCAAAGAUUGGAUUAUGGUGCAAGAUAUCUUGAAUCAGGGCAAGGUAUUCAAACAAAUAUGGCUUAAAAGUCAUCAGAAUUCUACUUCUAUAGGAAAAAUUUUUUUGAACAUUAAUCUUCCAUGACUCCAUCUUUCUUGAUGUUGCCGCUACCACUGCUUCUUCUGUUCUCUUGAUCACCUUUGAUGUCAAAAUUCCUUGAUGCUCCAUAACAAAAGCAAACUAAAGUGGUACACCUGCGACGCCGCCAGGAGUACAGACCAACAAGCUGAAAUCCUUUCUAUUUAUGCCGAUACCAUUCCAGACAGCUUUAUUUAUUAUGGCUAUUGAUCAACCAAAUUAAAAAUGGUGACGAGAUAUGGGUAUACCAUUUUUCUUUUGCACAAUCAGAAAUGCUUUAUUGAAUAUCACAGAAAACUGAUCACAAAAGAUCAGUAUGGAGUACAAUAUGACUCAUCACACUAAGGCUAACAGCCCCCAAAAAAAACAAAGGCACCAGAAGCCUCCCAUAAAGUAAUAGCAUGGUCACCAUUAGCUGUACUCAAUCGAAAACAGAGGAGGAAAGAUCUUACUUCUAUACUAUAUAUAUUAAUAUGAAGGUUAAUUCUGGUUUUGAGAUGUCUUGUUAGGUUUCUUCUUUCUUUUUCAUCUUGUUGUUGGGUUGAUCUUCUUUUUUGUUUUCUCCCCUUGUGGAUGUGUGUUUCUGUUUCUGUUUCUGUUUCUGUAUCUUUGUUUUCUGCUUCUGCGGGUGCUGGCUUUCUCAGCUAGUUUCCUUCUGAACCUCUGUUUCUUUUGUGAUGAUUAUGUUUCAUAUGGACAAUUUGUGUUCUAUUUUGUUGUUUUGAUCUUUUAAUUUUAAUUUUGGGAUGAGUCUUUUUGGAUAUUUCAUCUGUUUGAAAUCCAGUGAAUUGUAAAAUUGAUAGCUAGUCCACCAAACUUAAAAUAAAAAAAGUUGUAAUCACUAAAGCGUACACUAAAUUCAGCAAGGAAAAAACUCCAGCCUAGCUUGAUUACAAAAUUAAAAGUUCUAGAUAGGAAAUAUCUAUAAAGAGGAAUGCCAUAAUAUUUUGUUUUCUUUGUUUUAAUCUUUGGGCCAUGUCUAGCUUGGAAAUGGCUAACGAAUGUUGAGAAAUCAUUGUUCAGAUUGAUGAAUCAAGCACUUAGAACCCUAUGGUAGAAUCAUUAAAUGGAUAGACACUUUCAUGGUCCUUUCUUUUUGAAUUUAAUUCUAUGGCAAAGCCUUUCAUAUACCAGCUAUCCACAUUGCAAGUCUGGAAUCAGUAAUCAGCAAUAUUAUGUUAUCUUUAUGCUAUCUUAUUGUGUACGUAUCCAAGUUACAAAAUAUAAAGCCAUGUUGACAAGGGUAAGGAAGAAACAGGUAUAUAAGUUUUGGCUUUAUAGAGUGCAGGGCUGGAGAGUCUUCCAUCAUCCUAUUUCAUGUUUCUGGCAGUUUGAUAUCAAAAUCUCUGACUUUUAAAUAUAUGUAGCUACCGUCCAUGAAUAAAAGUCAACCAGAUUAUUAUACAAGUCCCUAACUCUAUAGCUCAUAUAGCUUAGCUCAACAAAAGCAAAUAUUCUUUGAUUAUUUAACUAAACGGCAUGUUAAAUUCAUUUACAAUUAGACACUAUCUUAAUUUGAGCAUUCAUACUGGAUAAUUUGAAGCCUAGGAAAAUUUAAUGCUUGAAUAUCAUUUGUAAUUUUAGCCAAUUUCUCAAUAAUAUAAUUAUUAAAUUUACUGUUUGAUAAAUCAGGUUGAAACUAAAAUGGUUUUGUCUCAUCAAUGAAGAAACCAUUUCUAUUUGAAUGGAUUUCUGCUUAGCACCAAGAUUCCAAAGACCAAUAGAAAGGCAUAGGCAGUGGUAGAUCAGCAUCAUCCACGAGUCAGCACUGACAGAGCACAAGCAGUUGAAAGUGCAGCAGCAUUCAAAGAGUGUUGCCAUAACAUAAUAAACCAGCAAAAUCAGAUUUUUUUAUCUUGUUUUGACUAAACAAGAAUUAAUUACUUUUCAUUAAGGAUGAGAUCGAUUCAUAUUGGCCAUCAAUUUGGAAAAGCAUAACAUUUUAUUGAUUUCAGCUUGAAAAAUAUAUUCAAGGCUAAUCUUUACAUUUAGAAGAAAAAAAGAAAAGCAACCUAGAUAUGAAAUACAAAAUUAUAAGGCUACUUCAAAUUGGCACAGGUAGCUCCGAAGGUGGCAGAUGGUCGAAAGCCAACAAUGCAUGUAUGUCAUCUACAUCCUUAUCAGUGAAAAGCUCAUCCAACUUGCUAUUCUCAUCUGUGUUCCUAAUUCCCCAUAGCUGAUCCACCUCCUUGAAAGAGUCAUCAUGGUUUAAUUCCUCAUAUCCACCCGAUAGCUCAUCUACAUUCUUACCAGUGACAAUGACAGGUUCAACCGGUUUGCUACUUUCACUGUUGUUGCUAAUCCCAUGUAGUUGAUCCACUUCCUUCAAACAGUCACCAUCGAUUAAUGCCUCAUAUUCACGCAAUAAUUCAUCUACGCUCUUAUCAAUGACAAGCUCAUCCAAGUUGCUAAUUUGAUCGUUGUUGCUAAUCCCCAAUAGUUGAUCCACCUCACUGUAGGGGUCUUCAUCCAGUAACUGAUCCAUCAAAGAAUCACCCUCACCUACUAGGCCAUUAGAAUCCAUUUCUCCAAAACCAUUUACUCGAGAUUCUGAUCGUUCCACCAAAAUUGAUGAUUGACAUUCCAGGUUCUCUGACUACUGCAACCUUCCAUCUACGUAAUUAUCUACCCAAGGACGGCAUUGUCCAUCAUCGAGCAAAGGUAAAUUUCCACUGAAAACAGCUUCUUGCAUUAAAGCAGAUGAUGGACAUUCUUUGUUUCCAAGAAACAGAUUUCCAAAAAGCUCAUUAACCCAAAAAGCUACACACUUAUCUUCCUCUGAACAGGCUGUGUCUUUGAUCUUGCAGAUAACCCAUUCUUGAAAAUUUUCUCUGGGGAGACGAUACUCAUGCAUAAGCCAGCUAGUUUUGGUGGCAUCCUUUGGAUUUCGUUUCUCACCCUUGUACUCAUAGAAGUUAAGGGUAUUCACGUACCCUAUAACAUGCUCUCCUUGUUCAUCAAGAAUAGGUUUCUCACCUGUUGAAGACCUCCAAAAUCCACCGUCUCCUACUGCUCGACUGUCAAGAACCCUUCUAGGUCGUUUUCCAUUUGCAUUCUUUUGAGAAAUCUUCUGUCGAUGGGUGAAGACGAAACGCUGGUUGGGUUUGACGAACGGAAGAAAGCCUUUGUUAACAUCAAACAGGGCAUCUGGCUUGAUGCAAUAUAGAUCACAAAAUUCAAUGAGGUAGCUAAGUUCGUCGAUCCCUUCACCAGUCAUCAACUUGGGCAGAAAAAAGGAAACUAUUUCCCGAUCAGAAGGAUUGAACACCACUCCUGGAGCUGGAGGAUGGAACAUCAUCGCUAGGGUCGGAGUUAGAAUGAGAUUUUCUUGUUUUGGGAAAGAGAGUGAAGAGGUUUUUAGCGUCAAAAGGAAGCAGAAUGCUUUGUUUUCUGAAAGUGAAGUAAGAAGAAAUCUAGUUGCUUAAUUCUGCUUUUAUUUAUAGUUACCAAAAGAGACGGUUUAAGCAGAAUUCUACUUGCUUAAUUCUAGUUGCCUAAAACGCGUUUUUUGUUUUUAAUUUUAAAUUUGAAAUUUGGUAGCGCUGCUUCUGAUGGUCUCUUGAUCAGCUUUGCUAUGAAAGUUCCUUGAUGGUACAAGAACACUAAAGCAAGGCACCUCACCCUCACUCCAACCAUGGCCGCCGAUAUCAGGAUCUCUACCAGCGACCACCAGGCCUUGUCUCCCAUCACGGUACCUUCCCCCUCUCAAUCUCCCCUCCAAUUCCCAUGUUUCCCCCGUGAGGUUAUAAUUCGCCCCUCCCCUGCAUGUCUUGGGUUUUAGCUCCUGAAUUUUAGCAUGGAAACUCAAUUAGAUUUCUAUUUUAUUUUAAUUAAUAUCAAAUGAACUUCUUUUACUAAAUUUCAAGGAAUUUAUUUGGAAAUGCUCAUAUUUUUUUCACUUUUAAAGUAAAGGAUAUGUUUGUUUGAAAUUUCAAUGUCAGUACAUACGUGUGAUUUCUAUGGUUUCCUGUAAAACAAUGCUCAGAGUUAUUCAAGAUGGUGAUUUGGGUUGGGAUGAAUGGCAUAAUUAGCUUUACUUAAUCAUCUUUUCCAUAACUUGUUACAAUUUUUUACUACAAGAUUGUUAAUAGAUGAGAAUGGAGGGAGACUUUGAAGAAUUGUUAAUAACUGUUUGGGGUAAAGGGUUGAAUCUAUCAUGAUAGGAAAGGGAUGCACUUGAUAGUAAAGAUGUGAUAAGAACUUUUUGAUAAGCAUUAAAUGGGAUGAUUUGGGUUGAAUCCAUCAUGAUAGGAAAGGGAUGCCUCAUGCCUGGUGCCUAGUCUGAUGAGAGAAAGUAAUGAUAACAACUUUUGUUUCGAAACGGACUGUAUAUCACCAGAAUCAUUUCUCAUGCACUGUUACCAGUAUGUUGUUUUGAGGCCUUGUCUGUUGUUUUGGCUCUUUUUCCCCUGUUAGCGCAGGUUUAUCGGGUUCACUUGUAAAUAGGGAAAGAAUUGGUUUCUUUGUCUCUGCAGGACACGGAGGGUAUACUGGUGUUCCUGUUACCAGUCUAUGCUGUGAGGGUCAAGACUAACUGCCAAUCAGUCUUCUACUCUCCUCUGUUUGUUUUUGGACUCCCUCUAUGGAAUGAAUGACUUAAUUUUCAAAAAGCAAAAAAAAAAAAAAAGGUUAAAUCUUUUUCUAUAUACCAUGACCAGAACCCAGCUUUAUUUUUUUGUGGCCAAAUAAAAUUGUGAAGAAAUAUCACUUUGCUUUACAUGAAAGAGAUUAGGAAACAACUUAUUUCUUUGGGAGGUAGGAGAUGUGAUGAAAUUUUUAGGUUGAGAAAAGAUUUAUGGAUGGAUAUAGAAUGAAGCGCAAUUAUAUUUCAUAUGGACAUUUUGUAUUUUACUUUGUUGUUUCGAAUUCUGAAUUUUAAUUUGUUAUAAUUCUUUUUGGAUAUUUAAUUUUCUUGAAAUCCCAUGAGUGGUAAAAAGGAUAGCUAGUCCACCAAAAUAAAACUUGAUUGCAAAUUUAAAAGCUCUAACUAGGAAAUACCUAUAAAGAGGAAUGCCACAAUAUUUUCUUCUUUUUUUUUAAUUUUUGGCCAUUUCUAGCUUGGAAAUAGCUAUUGUUCACAUAGAUGAAUCAAGCACUUGGAACCCUAUGGUAGAAUCAUCAGGUAGAUAGACACUUUCAUGGUAUUUUCUUUCUGAAUUUAAAAUGUAUGGCAAAGUCUUUCAUAUGCCAGCUAUCCACAUUGCAAGUCUGGAAUCAGUAAUCAGCAAUAUUAUGGUAUCUUUGUGCGAUCUUAUUGUAUAUAUAUAUCCAAGUUACAAAAUAUAAAGCCAUGUUGACAAGGCUAAGGAAGAAAGAAGUAUAUAAGUUUUGGCUCUAUAUAGAGUGCAAGGCUGGAGGGCCUUCCAUCAUCCUAUUUCAUGCUUCUGGCAGUUUGAUAUCAAAAUCUCUUGCUUCUCUGAUGCUGGAUUUGUAGGAUUGCAAGAUAUUCUGCUUAUGAACUGUCACCUUCAUGCUGUCGAAAAUUCCUGAUCCAGUAUUAUGAGGAAACUGCUAAGUUACAUGUGACAAGCACAAAUACAUAUCAGAUUACACAGGAGUGAUACCCAGGACAUUAUGAUAACUAAGUGAUGGUGGCGAGAAACUAGAGUUUUGGGAAGUAUAAUUUGCAUCUCAUUGAUGGAAGCCUCCAAAUAACAAAUUUCUUUUUUUGGGCUUUUUGAUAUAAACCAAACAUCAAGGUUGCAUAAAUAACUUUAGUUUUCGGAAGUAUAACUUGGUUAUAAGAGGAAUGCCAUGGUAUUGGUUUUUUAAUUAUUUGGCCGAACUCCAUAGAAAGUCAAAGGGAAGAUUACCUAGUGGUUACUUAUUUCCAUAUACAAUGUCCCCCACAAAUUUAAGUGCUGGAACACCUCUAAUUUCCAUGUCAACUAGGGGUGCUUGGUUUAACUUCAAGCUGGAUAGCUCUGGAUUGUUAUGAAUCAUAUCAAGGGCACGCAUCUGAUGUUGAAAUAUUUAAUUAACAAUAAAUAAUUAAAAAUAUUCGAAUAUUUGAUUUAUUGGUUAGUACAUAAUUUUUUAUUUAAAAAAUAUGAUUCAAAUCCCUCUUCUCUCAAUUAAAAAAAAAACAAUGAAUAAUUAAGGGGAAGAGUAAGUUGGAAAGGAAGAUGAAGAUACUAAUGUUCCAUCUUUUCGUUAAUAUAUUCUUCCAUUCAACAUGCUAUGACACAUCGAUCACCAUUCGUCAUAAUAUUAUUGAGGGUAAACAGAUUUAUACCUUUAUUUUCACAGCACAGAACUUGCAGUCAGAGGCAGAUGGAUGAAGAAUCUGAUUAACAAUAAGUCGCCUGACAGGAACAUUUUCCAUCUCCAAGAAGGCACGUAGUCUAGAUGACUCACUGACUGCCAUCACCUAAGGAAAGGACAUAAAACAUGAGCAAUGAGCACAGAGGUUCUUCUAGUUGUUGUAAUAAGGCAAUGAGCAGAGGCUCUUUGUGUGGACACACAGAACUUUGGAUAGAACUAUAAUCAACACGUUUACCCAUUUCACCUACACGUUUUGUGCUGCAGGUGCUUUUUUAAGGAAGCAGGGAGUUUUCCCUUUCUAGGUACCAUUAUCAACUAUGUAUGAGUAUGACGACUUGAAUAUAAUCUAAUUCAGCAUUUCAAAAAUAUAUAUAUUAUAAAUAUUCAGAAAUCAAAACAUAUUUUUUUAUCAUUUGCACUAAAUUUAUUUGUAAUUUUACAUAUUAUUAUAUUAUAUUGUAGAUAUUUAUAUUUUGUAUGGUUUUAGGAUUGAUACUGUAUGUUGUUUGAAUUUUAAUAAAUUUCAAAUAUAAUUAUAUGCUAAUUUUGCAAUAUUUAUUAUUAAAUAAAAUAUAAAUUAUAUGAUUUAUAAAAUAUAACUGUAGAAAGUGCAGGCAGUGUCAAUAGGAGCUCCCUUGAGCACCUGCACCAUAUAUACACAUUCGAAUCCUCACUAGCAAUAAAUUACAAAUCGAAUACGUUUUGUGACCUUUGUUUUGACACAAGUGUAGGAUCACCUUCUAUGCUCCAGAGAUGGAUUUCUUGGAUUAUAAGCUUCAUCAGUAAGAACUUAUUGUCUUUUGAUAAUGAGAAUGAAGUAAUCAUGUCUACCUCUUCAAUAAGUCACUCAAAUUUUGCCUCCCAGUCGAGCAAUAGUAUAGCAGAUUCUCUGCAUAUGCUUAUGAUCCUCUUAUCAUCAUCAGUUAUGGCCAUAUCUGAGAUUUUAAGUGUCUUCUGUCCUUUACAGCAUUCUCCAGAACUGACAUCCCAAGGCCUCAUACCCUCCUCCUGUCCACAAGUAAGGAUUUGGCUAUCAUCUGGGCUCCAUGAAACAGUUAAUACUGGUUUCUGGUGGCCGCAUAGGGUAGGCUUCAGUGAACUUUGCCCUUGACCACUAGUUAUCUUAAUCCCAUAUGUAGUCCAUGUGUAGUCAUGCAUUCAUUUGGUCCACAAAGGCAAUGUGUGAGGGAUGUGAUCUCAUAUAUAGAAAUUGAACUACAGCGGAUUUGAAUGACCUUAUCUAGCUAUAUAUCUAAUCUUGCACGACAAUCAGCCACCAUUUUUGAACAACUAUGUUGAAAAACUGGAAAAAUAGAAUGCCUUCUGUUGAGAUAAGCUAGUUUCUCACUUUAUUGAUAUAAGACAAUUUUGUAAGUGAUAUCAACUUGACAGAGCUAGCUUAUAAAUUAGCCUGGUCAAUUUGGUUGUUAGUUUGACUACUUACUUUUUCAGAAAUAAUUGAUAUUUUCAAAUAAUUAAAAAAAUAAAAAAAUUCCAUUUAGAAAUCUUUCUUAUCACAAAGAAUUAUUAUGAUUAACCAUUAAAGCCUAUAGAAUAAAGUCUAUUUUCUGGGUUCGUAAUUUGACUUUUCGUCAAUCUAAAUCCAUUUAAACAAAUAUUCAUGGCAAUCUAGAUGACUAGAGUUAGUGUUAAAAUAGACCUUCAUAUUAAUCGUCAUUUGCUUGCAUACUUAAAAAGAACUAACCCAAAAUUUAAAAUGGAAUAUGAAGGAUGUUCUACACCGUGCUAAUUAAAAAGCCAAUUAAAAUAUAGUUGAAAUACUCUACUUAUCAGGGCUUAACAUUAAAAAUUAAUUAAAGCUGUUUCCUGAUAUUAUACCAAAUAUAUAAAUAUCCCUGCAGCUGACAAGGCAAUGUUUUUUCCAUUGAAAAUUUUCUAUAUUAGAUUCAUUGGAAUGAGAAAGAAGAAUUAGAUAUUAUAGCGUGUUUUUCCAUCCAUAUGAUUGAUUUGUAAAAGAUUCUGAUAUUCAAAGAUACUCAAAAUAGGCAUGGCAAAAUAUAAUUAUAAAGUGAAAAAGGUCUUAAUAGGAAACUAUUAUUAGUAUCUUAUGUCAAAUUUAAACCAAAUUACAGAGAUAUAUGUAUGUCAAGAGAUACAAUAAUUUUGAGCUUGCUUAUUUAAUUAUGGCUACAUGACUAGGUAUAAAUAAGUGACUUCCUAGUCAAGUGUAUAAGCCCUUUGCAUUUAACCAAUGACGGGAACCCUGGUAACGAUCCCAUCAGUGUUAACCCAAACACGAACCCUAGUGCACAAGAAAUCCGGGGUGACAAAUGAUCCUUCCAACACAAUCACAGCAUUGACAUUAGGAUUCUCCCUCUCAAUUGUAGCUGCUGCCUCCUCCCCUUUUGCUCCCAGGAGCUCCGGCCAUGAACUUUUCCCUACAUAUAUAGGCAUAGCCACAAGAAUUUGCAUUAAACAAAAGGAAAUUGUUAAUCAGUACAAACCAUUCGAGGCUCUGGAAGUUGUUAUUUACCUUGGCAUUCAUCUGAAGCCAUGUUUCUCUUCUUUUCACUCUAUUGCAAUAUCCUUUUCCUCUUUGAUUUAAUUGUGUUAUGGCAAUCGGGUAAAAGGGGUAUUUAUAGAUGAAAAGUAUAUGGUGGUUUGUUGGACAUUAUUGACUUUCAAGGCUUAUGCCAAAAGUUUGAAGUUCUUGGCAAAUUAAUUGUUCCAUAGUUUUCAAACCUGCAUUUAGCUAUAUGAUCAGAAAUCCGUCAGCUGUAAUUACAUGAUAGAUGGUGCAUUCUUUAAGCAAUUCUUCUCACGUUUCCUUUCAGAUUUUAUUUAAAACCAUCGGAUAUAUAUAUAUAUGAUCAGCCACUAUUUUUUCAUUGAAAUUUUCUAUGCGUCUGAUUACAUCAAAGCUUCUUUGAACAGUUCCAUGUCUUUACUUGCAGAUAUUGCAAUAGCCAAUAGGGAAGCUUAUCACCAAGAUUGGCUUAUGCUUCAAGACAUUUCUUGAAUCAAGGCAAGGUUUUAAAAGGAAUGGCUUAAAACUGAUCUACAUCUCUACUGGUCAAAGUCAGCCUGUAAAUAUAUUGCGUACGUUGAAAAUUGUGCAUUUUCAUUCACAUUCAAUCCAAAUUUCCUAACAAGAUAUAUAGUUAAUUAAUUAUUGUAAGCAUUCGGUUUUCAUUUUAUAAAUACUAGAGUGGUGCCCCGCUUUGCGUGGGUGUUAAAUUUUUUAUUAAAAACAAUAUCAAAUUAUAUAAUAUUAUAAAUAAAAAUAAUAAUUUUAAAUUUAAAAACACUAUAAAUAAUAGUUAUAAUGAUAAUUUAAAGAUAAUUAUUUUAAAAAUUAUUUUUUAAAAUAUUUCUCAUCUCUUAUUAAGCAAAAUUUUUUAUUUAAAUAAUUUUUUUGAAAACAUUUAAUUUUUUAUAUCUUAAUAUAUGCUAAUAUUGAUAUAUUUAUAUUUUAUUAAUUACAUGAUUCUAACUGUGAAAUCAAAUUUAUAUUGAGAAAAUAUAAUGUUUUAAAAGUAAUUAUUGAUAAGCUAUAUAAUUGAUAUAAUAAAAUUAUUCAAAUAAAAUAAAAAUUUUUGAAAGUCAAAAUGAAAUAAAUAUUAAUUAUACUUAUUAAAUUUUUUUUAGUUUUAAUGAUGAAAUUUUCUAAAUGAUCUUUAAUUUUAAUUAAUACUUUUUUAUCUCAUGCCUUUAUAAUUAUUUAGAAUUAAUCUCCCUUAUAAUUCCUUUCGUGUCUCAUUAAAAAUUAAAAAUUUGCUUCACGUCAAACUUGAAUGAAAUCCAUAAAUGUCCACUAAAAAAGUUUAUUUUUAUAUUUUAUUCUAUAAAAAAUAUAUAUUUCAUAGUACAUGAAAGCACUGUUAGCUUCAAUUCCCUAUGAACCAAAACAUUAUCAAUACGGUAAAAAUGCUCUUAUGAAGCUAAAGAAAAAAAUUCCUCUGUUGACAAUCUUAAAUGCAACCGACCUCACAAAAAUCAUCUCAAAAUUUUUUAUAAAUCAACCAUUUUAAAUUAGCCACAUGUCAAUGAAAAAAGCCACAAACGUGGCCAAGUGUGGAAGCCCCUUUGAAGCUUCCCUUUACUUAAGUUAUAGAUAUAUCUAUUUAUUGAAUCGAAAGUGUACAUUUAAUUUGAAAUAGAUCAUAGGAAAUGUAACAUGGGGUGAAAUUAUAAAGUGUUUUGUGAUCUUUAUUGAGAUUUCAUUUUUAUGUAAUGUAGAGAAACAAACUCAAUGAUGAACCAUGAUAGAGUUGAAUCAUUUCAUUUUCAUCACAGCUUGAACACGAACCAAUCUGGAAUCAAACCGUGGGGGUCUGUACCGAGGAAGGGUAUUACUAUUCUACCAUUUGAGUCCUUCCAACUUCACCUUGACAAAUUUAUCACCACGCAGCCCUAACCCCUAAAUCUGAUGAGGAAAAACCCAAAAUGCCUCUGUCCCAAAAUAUUUAAAUUACAUUUACAUAUUUUUUGUCAAUAAUGAUUUGCACUUUUUAAGUAUUAAUUACAUACAAGGGAGCCAAAUCAUAUUCAUCUUGUAAGAAAGAAAUGACAUGAUGCUUCAUUUAAAAAAAAAAAGAAGAAAUUAAAACUAAAUGUAACCUACCGCUAUAUAUAAAGUAUAAAUUAAUAACUUUUCUUUGAAAAUUAGAAAUUCAUAUCUGUCCAUGGCAUUCUCUUUCCAGAUUCCAAUUUCAUGGCAAAGUCUUUCCAUAUGUCUGAUCUCUACAUACUAUUGCAAUCCCAAAUCAGAAAUCAGGCUUUGAUAUCUUAUAAAGCUUUAUCCUGAUCUCACAAAAUAAAUGUUGUAGUAGUUGACAAGGUAAUUUGUUCUCUAUGUUCCUAUAUUACGAAUAAAUAACAGUUUACAGAAUUAAAUUUGACUCAAUAGUUCAUGUAUGUGUUCCCUUCAAAGAAUGAGAUUUGAAUUUCUUUUCUUCAAGAAAACAAAAGAAAGAAAAUGUUAUAAGAUUGUCAUUAUUUGCAACAACAUUCUCUGACAUCACAAGAAUUAAUCCUUCUUGAGCAAUUGGAGUUAAUAGGAGUUAAGAGGAUGUAAGACGACAUUUUGCAAAGAAUGGACCAUUUAGGUCCGGCACCUUCAAAAUUUUGCAUUUUUUCUCCCUUAAUUCCAAAUUCAAGUGCAUGACAAAAUAUGAUCAUAAAGUACAAAGAAGUCUUAAUGGAGACGGUUCAAAAUCUUAUUUCAAAUUAAAAAUAAAUUACAAACUUAAAUAAAGAUAAUGAGAUCAUAUAACAUAAUAUUGGGUAUUCUUAUUUUAAAUUAUAAUACAUAAUUCGUGUUUAUUAAAGAAAUUAAAACAAGUAACUUGCUAGUAAAGCAUAGGCCCUUCACAAUUUAACCAAUCAUAGGAACCCUGGUAACAAUCCCAUAGGUGUUAACCCAAACUCGAACCCUAGUGCACAAGAAAUCCGCUGUAACAAAUGAUCCUUCUAACACAAUCACAGCAUUGACACGAGGAUUCUCCUUCUCAAUUGUUGCUGCCGCAUCCUCCCCUUUCUUCCCCACAAGCUCAGGCCAAGAACUUUUCCCUACAUUUAUAGCCACAAG
rnacentral:lncRNA from 1 species